AGCGAACGCUGGCGGCAGGCCUAACACAUGCAAGUCGAACGAAGUCUUCGGACUUAGUGGCGGACGGGUGAGUAACACGUGGGAACGUGCCUUUAUGUUCGGAAUAACUCAGGGAAACUUGUGCUAAUACCGAAUGUGCCCUUCGGGGGAAAGAUUUAUCGCCUUUAGAGCGGCCCGCGUCUGAUUAGCUAGUUGGUGAGGUAAAGGCUCACCAAGGCUAAGAUCAGUAGCUGGUCUGAGAGGAUGACCAGCCACAUUAGGACUGAGACACGGCCCAAACUCCUACGGGAGGCAGCAGUGGGGCAUCUUGCACAAUGGGCGAAAGCCUGACGCAGCCAUGCCGCGUGGAUGAUGAAGGUCUUAGGAUUGUAAAAUCCUUUCACCGGUGAAGAUAAUGACUGUAGCCGGAGAAGAAGCCCCGGCUAACUUCGUGCCAGCCGCCGCGGUAACAC
rnacentral:rRNA from 1 species